UCAAAGGAAUUGACGGGGGCCCGCACAAGCGGUGGAGCAUGUGGUUUAAUUCGACGCAACGCGCAGAACCUUACCAGCCCUUGACAUCCCGGUCGCGGACUCCAGAGACGGAGUUCUUCAGUUCGGCUGGACCGGAGACAGGUGCUGCAUGGCUGUCGUCAGCUCGUGUCGUGAGAUGUUGGGUUAAGUCCCGCAACGAGCGCAACCCCCGUCCUUAGUUGCUACCAUUUAGUUGAGCACUCUAAGGAGACUGCCGGUGAUAAGCCGCGAGGAAGGUGGGGAUGACGUCAAGUCCUCAUGGCCCUUACGGGCUGGGCUACACACGUGCUACAAUGGCGGUGACAAUGGGAAGCGAAGGGGCAACCCCUAGCAAAUCUCAAAAAA
rnacentral:rRNA from 1 species